rnacentral:tRNA from 1 species
GAAAAAGUAUGCAAGAACUGCUAAUUCAUGCCCCCAUGUUUAAAAACAUGGCUUUUUCA